rnacentral:rRNA from 1 species
CCAGACUCCUACGGGAGGCAGCAGUGGGGGAUAUUGGACAAUGGGGGGAACCCUGAUCCAGCGACGCCGCGUGAGUGAAGAAGUACCUCGGUAUGUAAAGCUCUAUCAGCAGGGAAGAAAAUGACGGUACCUGACUAAGAAGCCCCGGCUAAAUACGUGCCAGCAGCCGCGCUAAUACGUAUGGGGCAAGCGUUAUCCGGAUUCACUGGGCGUAAAGGGAGCGCAGGCGGCAUGGCAAGUCUGAUGUGAAAACCCGGGGCCCAACCCCGGGAGUGCAUUGGAAACUGCCAGGCUGGAGUGUCGGAGGGGUAAGCGGAAUUCCUAGGGUAGCGGUGAAAUGCGUAGAUAUUAGGAGGAACACCAGUGGCGAAGGCGGCUUACUGGACGACUACUGACGCUGAGGCUCGAAAGCGUGGGGAGCAAACAGGAUUAGAUACCCGAGUA